GAUGAACGCUGGCGGCGUGCCUAAUACAUGCAAGUCGAGCGAACAGACGAGGAGCUUGCUCCUCUGACGGUAGCGGCGGACGGGUGAGUGACACGUGGAAAACCUACCUAUAAGACUGGGAGAACUUCGGGAAACCGGAGCUAAUACCGGAGAAUAUAUUGAAGCGCAUGGUUCAAUAGUGAAAGACGGUUUUGCUGUCACUUAUAGAUGGAUCCGCGCCGAAUUAGCUAGUUGGUAAGGUAACGGCUUACCAAGGCAACGAUGCGUAGCCGACCUGAGAGGGUGAUCGGCCACACUGGAACUGAGACACGGUCCAGACUCCUACGGGAGGCAGCAGUAGGGCAUAUUCCGCACUGCGCGAAAGCAUGACGGAGCAACGCCGCGUGAGUGAUGAAGGUCUUCCGAUCGUAAAACUCUGUUAUUAGGGAAGAACAACUGUGUACGUAACUAUGCACGUCUUGACGGUACCUAAUCAGACAGCCACGGCUAACUACGUG
rnacentral:rRNA from 1 species